rnacentral:RNase_P_RNA from 2 species
AAAGUCCGCCGGACGAUCGCUGGCAGUCGCGUCGAGAAAUGCGCUGCGAGAGGUAACGUCCGGACUCCGCAGAGCAACGUAGCAGGUAACACCUGCCCGCCGUGAGGCGAGGAUUAGAGCAACAGAGACGAGUCGGCGAUCCGUUGGUAACAACGAGCGCCGGGUGAAACGGGCAAUCUCUACGUGGAGCAACACCGAAUAGGCGGCCGAUGAUCUGACUCGGGGAGGCCGCGGGUAGGUGGCUUGAGCUGGCGAGUGAUCGCCGGCCUAGAGGAAUGAUCGUCACGGCUCUCGCAAGAGUGCCGCACAGAAUCCGGCGUACAGGCGGACUUUGCCU